GUGCCAGCCGCCGCGGUAAUACGGAGGAUCCAAGCGUUAUCCGGAAUCAUUGGGUUUAAAGGGUCCGUAGGCGGGUGUGUCAGUCAGUGGUGAAAGUCUGCAGCUCAACUGUAGAACUGCCAUUGAUACUGCAUACCUUGAGUAAUUAUGAAGUGGUUAGAAUAUGUAGUGUAGCGGUGAAAUGCAUAGAUAUUACAUAGAAUACCGAUUGCGAAGGCAGAUCACUAAUAAUUUACUGACGCUGAUGGACGAAAGCGUAGGUAGCGAACAGGAUUAGAAACCCGAGUAGUCC
rnacentral:rRNA from 1 species